rnacentral:rRNA from 1 species
UGGGGAAUAUUGCACAAUGGGGGAAACCCUGAUGCAGCGACGCCGCGUGAGCGAAGAAGGCUUUCGAGUCGUAAAGCUCUGUCCUAUGAGAAGAUAAUGACGGUAUCAUAGGAGGAAGCCCUGGCUAAAUACGUGCCAGCAGCCGCGGUAAUACGUAUGGGGCGAGCGUUGUCCGGAAUUAUUGGGUGUAAAGGGUACGUAGGCGGUUUUUUAAGUCAGGUGUCAAAGCGUGGAGCUUAACUCCAUUAAGCACUUGAAACUGAAAGACUUGAGUGAAGGAGAGGAAAGUGGAAUUCCUAGUGUAGCGGUGAAAUGCGUAGAUAUUAGGAGGAAUACCGGUGGCGAAGGCGACUUUCUGGACUUUUACUGACGCUCAGGUACGAAAGCGUGGGGAGCAAACAGG